rnacentral:misc_RNA from 1 species
GGAGCACCAUUUCCCAGUCGAAUGAACUAGGGAACAUAAAGUAGGCAUCUGUAGUGGGUAUCUACUUGGUGAAUAUGUUUUGUAAAUCCUGUCCACCCCCGUGGAUGGGUAGUCGGCAAAACGUCGGACUGUCAUAAGAAUUGAAACGCUGGCACACUGUUGGGUCCUGAGGCAACACGUUGUGUUGUCACCCUGCUUGGUGGUGGGGUGUGGACUUUGACUUCUGAAUAGUGGUUGCGAGCAUCUAAACAUAGCCUCGCUCGUUUUCGAGUGAGGCUGGUUUUUGCAAUUUUAUU